AGCUCACAGUGGCUGUCUGUGCUUUUGUCCAAAAGUGCUGAAGUGUAAGGUUGAAGAUAAUGAUACUGGAGAAGGACUCAUCCCAAAUCACCCGUCGGUGGCAGAGCCUGGACAAACCUAUGUCUCCUCCCUUCACUCGUUUGGGGUUGUUGCUGGACUGCAGGGACUCGAAGGGCCCAGGAGAGACUAAAAGCUAUGAAGGAAUUUGAUGUGGGGAACCCCAACAGAGCCAAGAAGGUACCCAGAGACUUUAGAAACUAUAGGGACUUACUUCUCAGGACCCCUUUGAAGCCUAGACCUAAGAGGAUGAUUUGAUGUUGAGACAGCAUGACAUGCAGAGUGACUCAAUCCAACAGAAUGCUAAGUCUCAGUGAGCUGUCACCCCAUUCUGCACCAGAUGAAUAACUCUGCAACACUCAGAUGAUUGUGACCUCCUCCUGCCGUGCCUGCCCACAUGUCACCAGUAGAAGCAAGAAUGAACAUUUGUGAAAAAAUUAGUCUGCAUUGUCAAUUGUCAUCCUGGAGAGAAAAUGACUUGAUCUUCAGUGAUAACAGGAAUAUUACCAUCUUUCAGCCCCAUCUCAUUUUUCUUCACUUACUCAGAGUCUUACUCAGCGACCUAAUACUGAGUCUACUGAUGUCUUCACCUGCAAGAGCAACCUCCUUCCCAAAUCAGUUCCCACUCCUAACAGGAGCAGAGGCAAUAUCAGUAGCCCUUUUUUAUUUUUUUUCCUGAGACAGAGUCUUGCUCUGUCGCCCAGGCUGGAGUGCAGUGGCACAAUCUCGGUUUACUGCAACCUCUGCCUCCCGGGUUUGAGCGAUUCCCCUGCCUCAGCCUCCUGAGUAACUGGGAUUACAGGCACGUGCCACCAUGCCUGGCUGAUUUUUUGUAGUUUUAGUAGAGAUGGGGUUUCACCAUGUUGGUCAGGCUGGUCAAUUCCUGACCUCGUGAUCCACCCACCUCCCAAAGUGCUGGGAUUACAGGCAUGAGCCACUGUGCCCAGCCGCCUUUUUUGUUCUCUUCCUUGAUCUUAGGAGUUUAGGAAAUGAUCACACUCCCAGAUCCAAGAUCUGGUGUUCUACCCUCAAAGCCAAUGGACUCACAAGAUCCCACCAAGCAGAUCUGAAUGAUCUAGGACUAAUAAUGCAGGCUCUGAAGUUAGAGAGACUUAGAGUCAAAUCUGAACUCUGCCACUUAACCUUGCACAAGGCCAGUGUCUCAAUUAGGUUAGUAUAGUCAACAAUGCUAAAUAAGAAAAUUCAUUUCUCGGCUGGGCACGGUGGUUCACACCUAUAAUCCCAGCACUUUGCGAGGCCGAGGCAGGCGGAUCACGAGGUCAGGAGUUCAAGACCAGCCUGGUCAACAUGGUAAAACCCUGUCUCUGCUAAAAUACAAAAAUUAGCUGGGCGUGAUGGGACAUGCCUGUAAUCCCAGCUACUCGGGAGGCUGAGGCAGGAGAAUUGCUUGAACUCAGGAGGCAGAGGCUGCAGUGAGACCAGAUGGCACCACUGCACUCCAGCCUAGGCGACAGAGCAAGACUCCAUCUCAAAAAAAGAAAAUUAAUUUCUCAUCACAAUAUAUGUCCAACAUAGGUUAGUGGAAGGCAGUGCUCCAUAUUAUUACUCAAGAACCCAGGCUGAAAAAGGUUCCAUCUUAUAAUGUCACCAUCACAACACAUGGUGUUCAGGGAUACUAAGACAGGGGAAAGAUGAGGGGUGGGCCAAGUUUGAGGUUUUAACCAUCUCAUCCCAGAAAUGAUACAAUGGCAUUCCAGUUUUGGUCCAUUGGCUAGAACUAGUCAUGUAGCCCUGCCAACCUGCAAGGGCCUAAGAAUCAUCACCUUCCUUAUUACCAGAAAGUGGAGGAGAACUGGAUAUGAGUAAAUAAUUUUACUGCAGCCCAGCACACAGAGUGUGAUACUACUGUGUAGUUACUUUCUUCCUUCAAGUUUCCUGUAGGUCCAAUAGACCAAGGAUUCAUUAAGCUAAGGAAGGGCCCUGUUGUUUGUAUAACCACCCAUCAGAAGACUCUAUCCCCCAUGUCACCCUCAACCUCAAUGCCACUCCACAAUGAACAGGCUCAGUUCACCAGCAUGGGCUUAUGACCUAGGCUUUUCUUCCUAGCCAGUCUUGCCCUAUUGUCCUGCUUGAUUUUUUGGCCUGCCCCUCUAAGCUUGAGCCUUAUCCUAAUAAGAAACUUUGUAGGACUGGAAGCUUCAUAUCUUGUUCAGCUCUUGCCAGUUCUCCUUAUGAGCAGUCAAUCAAUGUUUUAGCAGUGGAGCCAUCUUGGAUCCUCAAACUUCUUGGAGGCCAAAGGGCUAAACAAUUCCCAGUCACAGUGAAUUUGCUGCCAAAGAUACACUCACUCAGCCUUUCCAAGGAAGUGACUGGAUAUGUAAAAAAGGGUUAUGUACAAAGAUGUUUAUUGAAACAUUAUUUGUAAUAGCAAAAUAUUGGGAAUAACCUAAAUGUCCACCAAAGGAGAAUGCUUAUAAAUAUGAAUCAUCCACAUGAUGGAUGUAUAAGUUAUGCCUGCCAAGUUCAUCAGGGUAAACGGAAGAGACAAAAUCAGAUUAUUUAUUAGGAUGGAGUUGAUUUCCUAACACAGUGGGACCUGCUUUCAUUUUGUUUGCCCUGCAGUUCUACUAUCCCAGAUUUUAUUUAUUCAUUUCAGGGCCAUUCUAUAGGCAGCAUCUCCACUGGGCAGCCAGGGCCCAGCUCAUGUGUAGUUGGGUAGCCUUUGCUACUGCAUUGGUCCCCAAUCCAAUCAUCUAUGAUUAGGGGAGCGGCUAGCUCUCCUCAAAAGUAGAGAAGGUUGUCCUGGCCUCUAAUGAAUUAUCCUUUAGUCGGUCUAAUUCAGUGAAAUAUUAUGUACCCUUUAAAAAUUGUAUUUACCAGAAGUUUUUAAUGACCUGGAAAAGUAUGCAGGAAAUAUCGUUAGGUUUUUAAAAUUUAUAAAAUUGAAUCUAUACUCUGACAUGUGUCAUAACAUAAAUUAACCUUAAAAGACAGACGCGGUGGCUAACGCCUGUAAUCCCAGCACUUUGGGAGGCCAAGGCGGGUGGAUCACCUGAGGUCAGGAGUUCAAGACCAGAGUGGCCAACAUGGCAAAACCCCAUCUCUACUAACAAUACAAAAUUAGUGGGGCAUGGUGGUCUGAACCUAUAAUCCCAGCUACUCCAUAAGCUGAGGCAUGAGAAUUGCUUGAACCCGGGGGGCAGAGGUUGCAGUGAGCUAAGAUCGUGCCACUUCACACUAGCCUGGGCAAAAGAGCGAAACUCUAUCUCAAAAUAAAUAAAUAAAUAAAAAUAAAUGAACCAAGUGAAAUAAGCCAAUCAA